UCUCGACAUAAUCACAAUAAGCUCACACAUAAUAAUUAUAUAUAGUUAGAGGCAAGUCAAAAUCAUCAUUGAAAAAUUGACAAGGGUGUUGGAACUGAAAGGUUCACCAAUUAGUUUGAGGUUGAAUAGGAUAGAUAAAUUUAAAAGGCUCUUGUUGGUCAUGCCAUCGUUGAGAUGGAAAGUAUUAAUUGAGGAAGACCAAAAACAUAAAGUGAUAAGGAGCAAUGGUCGGUUGGCUAUAAAAGGAGAAUGGAAAAAGGCCAAGACAUCAGAAAGACCACUCUUUUUUUAUAUAGAUGAUUUCUCUUGGUAGAAAUGAUCAAACCAUC
rnacentral:lncRNA from 1 species